rnacentral:lncRNA from 1 species
UUUGCAUUGAUAACGAACACUUCCCCCCAUCUAGAUGUCCAAAUCUGCCCGUACUAAGUUUAGCAACAAGUUCAUUAGCAAAUGAAAGGCAUUAAUAGACCAACCAGAUCCAUGAUUCCCAAUGAGAAUUCUACGCCAGAACAGAGAAAAGGAAGCACCUUUAUUCCCUCAAAAUCUUAUAUAAAUCUACCUACCUUUCAACACCAAAAACUUAUAGUUUUUCCAAAUAAUCUCAGAGAAAGCACACACAACCACGCAUUUAGAAGAAGCAAAACCUUAAAAUUCAAAAAGAAAAAACAAUGGGAAAGAAAAAGAAUUCUACCUUUCAACACCAAAAAAAUUAUGGUUUUUCCGAAUGCUUUCAGAGAAAGCACGCACAACCAAACAUUACGAAGAAUCAAAACCCUAAAAUUCAAAAAGAAAAAAAAAUCGGAAAGAAAAAGAAUUCAGACCAAGACAGAAGGGCUUAACGGAGGAGGAGAGAGGGAAAAAUAUGCUCACCUGCGAUACCCUAAUCCUAACUGAACCGCUUGGUAUUUGCCCUCUGAGAUCUAUACGACACUAGAGAAAAAUAUAUACACACAUGAAGAGAUUCUAAAGAGGAAUCGUUCAAACGGGACUCAUGGGAAGGGAUGGGGCGGGGUCGUCAUUGGAGAGCUCGACAGCGAUUCAGAGGUCAAUGCCCAGAUUUUUCUUCCCCAAUGCCGGAAAUGCCAUUGAACUUCCAGCUCUUGACCAGAAACUUUUUGUCCCGUCAGGGCGGGGAAGGGGAAGGGCAUUUCGGGAAGUCAGCUCUGAUGGUGGCGAGAGCCGACAACGGCAGGGAAGAAGCGUUCCAAUUUGGAAUUAAAUUUUAUUUUAUCUUAACAAAGAAAUCGCUAUCCUCACAGCCUUUCUCACCGCAUUGUUCCACGGUCAGCG